GCUUUUAUAGUUUAAUUUUUUAAAAAUAUUGGUCUUGUAAAUCAAUGAUGGUAUUGACCUAAAAGCA
rnacentral:tRNA from 1 species